GAUGAACGUUAGCGGCAGGCCUAAUACAUGCAAGUCGAGGGGUAGAGAGAGCUUGCUCUCUUGAGACCGGCGCACGAGUGCGUAACGCGUAUGCAACCUACCUUUAUCUGGGGGAUAGCCCGAAGAAAUUCGGAUUAACACCGCAUAAAAUCACAGAACGGCAUCGUUCAAUGAUCAAAUAUUCAUAGGAUAGAGAUGGGCAUGCGUGCCAUUAGUUAGUUGGCGGGGUAACGGCCCACCAAGACCGCGAUGGCUAGGGGAUCUGAGAGGAUGGCCCCCCACACUGGUCCUGAGACACGGACCAGACUCCUACGGGAGGCAGCAGUAAGGAAUAUUGGUCAAUGGAGGCAACUCUGAACCAGCCAUGCCGCGUGCAGGAAGACAGCCCUCUGGGUCGUAAACUGCUUUUAUUCGGGAAUAAACCUGCUUACGUGUAAGUAGCUGAAUGUACCGAAGGAAUAAGGAUCGGCUAACUCCGUGCCAGCCGCCGCAGUAAAAC
rnacentral:rRNA from 1 species